UACGGAGGGUGCGAGCGUUAAUCGGAAUUACUGGGCGUAAAGGGUGCGUAGGUGGUCAAUUAAGUUAGAUGUAAAAACCCUGGGCUUAACCUGGGGCUGAGAUUUAAAACUGAUUGACUGGAGUAUUGGAGAGGGUAGUGGAAUUUCCGGUGUAGCGGUGAAAUGCGUAGAGAUCGGAAGGAACACCAGUGGCGAAGGCGGCUACCUGGCCAGAUACUGACACUGAAGCACGAAAGCGUGGGGAGCAAACAGG
rnacentral:rRNA from 1 species